UCCGGGUUGGUCCCGGCGGUCCCGCUAGACACCGUAACUAGCGGCAGGGGUUGCGCUCGUUGCGCCACUUAAGGCAACACCUCACGGCACGAGCUGACGACAGCCAUGCACCACCCGUGCGGGCUCCGAAGGGAGACCGUGUUUCCACGGCUGUCACCUACAUGUCAAGCCCAGGUAAGGUUCUUCGCGUUGCAUCGAAUUAAUCCACAUCAUCCACCGCUUGUGCGGGUCCCUGUCAAUUCCUUUGAGUUUUAACCUUGCGGCCGUACUCCCCAGGCGGUCAACUUCACGCGUUAGCUUCGUUACUAAUGGGUUUAACCCCACCAACAACCAGUUGACAUCGUUUAGGGCGUGGACUAC
rnacentral:misc_RNA from 1 species